GUUCGCGUUCGCGAACAGACUUUACGCAAACUUCGGUCAACAGAAGCCACAACCAUUGAACCACCUCCGCGGCAAUCGGAGGGCAGAUGCAACCACCCCACCGCCGUUGCCUUCGGCUCUGGCCGUUAUCCUUGCCCGUAUAUAGUGGGACCUCAUCGACCAACGCCCACCUAUGCCCAUAAGAUCUGCUAGCCAAUGGUGGUGGAGAGCUCUGGCAAGCCACCAGAUGGAUGGGCAGGAGUCCACCAUCGACACCGUGUUAGGUAGUCGCCCCGCCCGUGGGUGGCGCUCUCCUUCAUUCCGGUGUCUCUGACUCCUCGCAUCUGCGUCCUCUCCACCCGCCGCGGUUCAACAACCACCGUCCGGCGAGCAGACACCACCGUGAAGCUACUUCCCAUCGUGAGCCGGAGUAACUGCGCCAUGGUCUUAGCGGUGAGGUCACAAGGAUCUGAAGAAUCAUCCUGGUAACUGGAAUCUCAAGUGCCAGGAGAAGUACAGGUGGUUCAAGAGGAGCCACACGACGAGGAGUUCGAUUCGAUCUAGGUGGCGUCUCCCAGUUGACUUUUUUGCGCCAAGGAUGGACUUUAGUUCUAUCUAUAUUUAUCUUUUAUUUUGUAAGAAUUCCGCUAUGUAAUAAGUACUCUGAUUAUAUUGUGACAUUUAUCUCUAUACACUCUGUUAUUAUAUAUGUUGUCUUCUUUGGCGCAUGUAUGAGAUGCACCUGGCUUUGUCCCUUAAAACCGGGUGUGACAGAACAUGAGAAGCUAAUGAUAAGUUUUCGAUCAUGUUAUUAUUA